UUUGUUCCCUGUAAAAAUCGAAGGACUGAAAAUAAAUUUAUUAGGAGUAAGAAAUGGCACUUACAAAAGAAACAACAGCGUCAAUCGUUUCAAAAUUUGGAGCAAACGCA
rfam:Treponema succinifaciens DSM 2489, complete genome.